GUAGGUGGCAAGCGUUGUCCGGGAAUUAUUGGGGCGUAAAGCGCGCGCAGGCGGUUCUUUAAGUCUGAUGUGAAAGCCCACGGGCUCAACCGUGGAGGGUCAUUGGAAACUGGAGAACUUGAGUACAGAAGAGGAAAGCGGAAUUCCACGUGUAGCGGUGAAAUGCGUAGAGAUGUGGAGGAACACCAGUGGCGAAGGCGGCUUUCUGGUCUGUAACUGACGCUGAGGCGCGAAAGCGUGGGGAGCAAACAGGAUUAGAUACCCUGGUAGUCCACGCCGUAAACGAUGAGUGCUAAGUGUUAGGGGGUUUCCGCCCCUUAGUGCUGCAGCUAACGCAUUUAAGCACUCCGCCUGGGGAGUACGGCCGCAAAGGCUG
rnacentral:rRNA from 1 species